CAAUCAAACCUAAUUAGAGGAACCUGUCCUAUAAACGACAAUCCACGAAAACCUUACCUUUUUUUGUGUCUUCAACUUGUAUACCGCUGUGUUCAGGAGCUUCUCACAAGAAAUAUCCUUAACUAGGGAGCAAAGUGCUCCCCAACCAACUCAAGUCAGGGUGCAGUUAAUGAAAAGGAAAGAGAUGGGUUACAAUUAAUUCAAGUUAAUGGAGACUUAAGUAAAAAUCUUUAGUCUAAAAUGGAUUUAAUAGUAAGAGUUUCGUAGAAAAAAGCUCUGAAUGAAGAAAUGAUUAGUGUACAAAC
rnacentral:rRNA from 1 species